rnacentral:rRNA from 1 species
GACGAACGCUGGCGGCGUGCCUAACACAUGCAAGUCGAGCGGACAGGAUUGGCGCUUGUGGUGUUUCCGAGAGGGGCGGAGGGGAGUAUCACAUGUGUACAAUCCGCUUGCAUGAGGGAGAACUUCACGAAAAAGGGGCGAAUACAGCGGAUGACACCCUAGUCCGCGGGGUGUUCGGGUGAGAUGCGGCCUUUGGGGUGUCACUUGCGGCUGAUCGGGUAGUGCGUGGGGUAGUUGGUCACGAAGGCGUUGACGCGUAGGCGGCAUGAGAGGGUGACCGGCCACACUGGGAGUGAGACACGGCCCAGACUCAUACGGGAGGGAGCAGGAGGGAAUCGUGCGCAAGGGGCGAAAGCCUGACGGAGAGACGCCGCGUGAGGGAAGAAGGCCUUCGGGUCGUAAAGCUCUGUUGUGAGGGACGAAGGAGCGUCGUUCGAAGAGGGCGGCGCGGUGACGGUACCUCACGAGAAAGCCCCGGCUAACUACGUG